AGUAGUCGAGGAUGACCAUCGAGGAUAGGGCAAGCUGCUUAGUAUAUGUAAUANUAUACUGAACAGGCCUAGAAUCUCUAUGAACUAGCAUAGAGGUGACGGAAAAGUUACCACAGGAUAACUGGCUUGUGGCGGCCGAGCGUCCAUAGCGACGCCGCUUUUUGAUUCUUCGAUGUCGGCUCUUCCGAGCAUGGUGGAGUAUCAGCCACCAAGUGUGUGAUUGUUCACCAACUAACAGGGAACGUGAGCUGGGUUUAGACCGUCGCGAGACAGGUUAGUUUUACCCUACUGCAUCGCGUCCGAGAGUAGGUCGGGGCAGUACGAGAGGAAGUGCCGAUCAGAACCGCUGGUGAUACUUUCGUCUGUUAAGGCGCGAAGUGUAGCUACGUUCUUCUUAUAAUAGCUGAAAGCCUCUAAGCUAGAAUGAGUACUUAAGGACGCAAAGAUAUGAAGACUACAUAUGUAAGGAUGAGGGUUGUACGAUAUAAGCUUCUGCGAGUAUUUCAGACCACUUAUUUCCUUUUUUAGAACAUGCUUGCUC
rnacentral:ncRNA from 1 species